UGAAAUUUGACCAACUCCUUAACUACACAGGACUCCAACAGAUAAGGACACCUAGAUAGUUGAGUCCCACUAGGAGAAUGUCACUUACUACUAUAAAUACAGAACCUUGAGCCAUUAUUCAUGUACGUUUUUCAUUAUUCUCCAGUCUAUAGCCUCACGCAUAUAAUUCUCUUUCUGACUUAAGCAUCGGAGGGGCGACGAGAACAUACCUUGUUGCCUUUGUUUCAGGUACUGGAAGACUACUAUCGUGCUCAAUCCAAAUCAUUAAACUCGAAAAAUCUGCAGGUACGAUUUUUGGUAGCAUCACUAGACAUAAAAACUCAACCAUUUGAAUAUUUUGUUGAUUCUUGCUUGUUUGGAUAUUGCACAUGGCUUGAGCACUCCGUUACUUAGCAACCAUAUUGUAUCAACAAAAAUGCCUGAUGUUCACAGGGCCUGUACAGGCUCACUCACAUGCUGAGUAAGGGAGUGGGGGUGGGUGAUUAUUUAAAAUAAAUAUAUAUAUAUAUAUAUAUAUAUAUAUAUAUUACCCCCACCCCCUAUAAUGUGUGUGGCUUGAAAUAGGACCCGUACAUGCAACAUAAUUUAUUGAACCAACUUGAUAGCUGCGUUUCUAGGCAUCUGGCAUCAGUUUAUAUUCUCAUUUAUUUUCCUAUUUAAUUGCCCGUGGAAUUAUUGUUCUAGGUUCACCAGUGGAGCAAAUGACGGAAUUUUAUAGUCAUACUCGUUGGAUUCAUGUUUUGCUGGGGCGUUUUUUCGAAUGUAAAUUCAAAAUAUACUAUGGUUUAUACAUGACUUAUUUUUUCUUCUAAUUCUCAGUUCACCUUUAUCUGUACUUUAGAACAGUGUGGUAAACGCGAUAAAAGAGGUGCUAAAAGAGAAGAUAGUGCUCCUUCAAGUUAUCGUGCUCAGAGGCACGCCGCACACUUAAUUGAACAUUCGUUUCCUCGAGAUUCUAUUUUUUUCAUUCUUUUCGAGAUAAAAACAUAAUCAUUGCUUUUAACAAUGUAUGUGUUUCGUGUAUUCACCAAAGUGGUAAAGGUACAAAAUGUAGUAGAUUCUUUCUCUCGAAUUUAAACUCUCAAGUAAAUGUUACAUCUAUCACUAUCUGUCACUAAUACUAAAUAAUUAAAUUUCAAUUAAGAUAAAUGCAACUUUGACUUGGGGCAGCAGCAAUUAUUACCAUGUCACCAACUGUUAUCUUAUAAUUGGCUCUGCUUCCGUGGAAUACGGUUGAAAUCACCGAGGUUGUACGCGGCAUCCCAACAUUUUGGCUACGUUUGAGUAUUAGACAAUAUUUUCUGCUUUUUAGGCAUCGUUUGAUUCUCAUUUUUAUUGAAAUAUAUUUUUUUUAAUCACAUAUUUUUAUUAAAAUAAUAUUAUACAUAAAUCAAAAAAAUUUCGUUCUUUUUUAUUCACACAUUCUCCAUUAAUCUACAACUCUAAAAUUUAUUUUUUCUAUAAAAAUACAGCUCAAACACCCACUAAAAUUAGACAAUAGGAGUUGGAAGUUGAAAAUGCAAUGCCACGUGAAGAGAACUCAAAGAGGCCAGUUAGUUCAACUUUUCAAACUUAUCCCCAUCUUUAUUAAUGCAAAUAUAGGUGCCAUUGCCCAACUACUUUUGGACUAAAAAAG
rnacentral:lncRNA from 1 species